CUGUCCCCCUUGCCCCCAUGGAGGCUUCUGCACCUGCCUCCUGGUGAUUGUUGCAGCAGGAAGUCACGUUCCAGUCAGCUGUGCUGGCAAAGAGGCUUAGAAGCACGAGUUUCAGGGAGGAAGAAUGGAGAUAUCAUGUGGACAGGUGCUAGGCAGCUGCUGGAAUAUACCCUAACGCUUUUAUGUAGCCGCAGAUUACCUCUUGAUAUGCCCUCCCCCUUUCUCCCAACAAUACACUGGAACAGGAUCAGACGAGCAGAAGGGGAGCAGGGACGGAAGGGGGUCUCUCGCUGUGCACGGCGGGCCCAGUUGGCAACUUUUCCCCUGGCUGGCUUUGACCGGCGUCCGCUUGCGGCCUAAAAAAACCUCUUUCUUUCCCCCUUUCCUCUGCCUUAGCAAAAGUACUUUGACUCCGGGGACUACAACAUGGCCAAAGCAAAGAUCAAGAACAAGCAGCUGCCGACGGCGGGAGCGGACAAGAACCUCGUGACCGGCGACCACAUCCCGACGCCGCAAGACCUCCCGCAGAGAAAAUCCUCCCUCGUCACCAGCAAGCUCGCAGGAAGCGGCGUGUCGAAAGUUGCCAGAUCCCCUUUCCCAGACGCUUCUGAGGUCUUGGCUCUGCUUCUGUGGUAGCUGCAAUCUGACCUGCUUCACUUCAAUAUAAUCCACACAUUUGUUUUUCUUUGACCAUGCCAAAGCUGUGCCUGCUCUCUUGCAGGGAGGGACAGGGUAUAGAUUGUAUUGAAUUUUGAGGAAAAUGUACAUUUGACUUCUCUGGGGGCAAACAGACCUACUUCUCCCAUAUGUGCCUACCUGGGAAUUAAGAUCAUAGAGAGAGGCCCUCCUGACUAUCCCACCUAUCAAAGGAGUUUGUUUGGUGGGUAUACGAGAGCAGGGCCUUUUUGGUGGCGGCCCCACAAUUCUAGAACAACCUCCCCAGGGAAGUGCACCUGGCCCCCUCACUUGAGACAGCUGAAGAAGUUUUUUAUUUUUGGACUGCAUUUGAUUAAAGCAGUCCUAAACUGUGAUUUUAAAAAAAAAUUGGUUUUGUGUGUUUUUAUGUACUUUGUUUUUGUGUGUUUUAUAUAUAUUGUAAGCUGCCUUGAGCUCCACAAGGAAGAAAAGCAGCUAAUAAAAACAUUGUAAAUAAAGUUCUGCCAGAGCAGGUUAUAAGACUUCAAAAA